UACGAACUGUGCAAACGUUAUUCGGAAUCACUGGGCUUAAAGGGUGCGUAGGCGGCUAUCUAAGUAGGGUGUGAAAGCCCCCGGCUCAACCGGGGAAUUGCGCCCUAAACUGGAUGGCUGGAGUGAGACAGGGGUGUGUGGAACUUCCGGUGGAGCGGUGAAAUGUGUUGAUAUCGGAAGGAACGCCGGUGGCGAAAGCGACACACUGGGUCUCAACUGACGCUGAGGCACGAAAGCCAGGGGAGCAAACGGG
rnacentral:rRNA from 1 species